AGAAUCAACGCUGGCGGCGUGCCUAACACAUGCAAGUCGAACGAGAAAGUGGAGCAAUCCAUGAGUAAAGUGGCGCACGGGUGAGUAACACGUGACUAACCUACCCUUGAGUGGGGGAUAACCUAGGGAACCUGGGCUAAUACCGCAUAAUACCUUCGGGUCAAAGGAGCAAUUCGCUUAAGGAGGGGGUCGCGGCCGAUUAGUUAGUUGGCGGGGUAAUGGCCCACCAAGACUGUGAUCGGUAUCCGGCCUGAGAGGGCGCACGGACACACUGGAACUGAAACACGGUCCAGACUCCUACGGGAGGCAGCAGUGGGGAAUUUUGCGCAAUGGGGGAAACCCUGACGCAGCAACGCCGCGUGGAGGAUGAAGUCCCUUGGGACGUAAACUCCUUUCGAUCGGGACGAUUAUGACGGUACCGGAAGAAGAAGCCCCGGCUAACUUCGCGCCAGCAGCCGC
rnacentral:rRNA from 1 species